GUCGUGAGUCUUAGGGACUCGGCAUACUGCUCAGUAACACGUGGAUAACCUGCCCUAUCGUCUGGAAUAACCUCGGGAAACUGAGAAUAAGGCCGGAUAGUUCACAAUGCCUGGAACGGUUUGUGAAUCAAGGUAGGAUGGGUCUGCGGCGUAUCAGGUUGUAGGGGGUGUAAAGGACCCCCUAGCCUUCGACGCGUACGGGUGUUGGGAGACAUAGCCCGGAGAUGGAUUCUGAGACACGAAUCCAGACCCUACGGGGUGCAGCAGGCGCGAAAACUUCGCACUGCAGGAAACUGUGAUGAGGGAACUCCUAGUGCAUGCACUAUGUGUAUGUAGAUCCUACUCUUAACAAGUAGAGGGAAAGGGCUGGGAAAGACCGGUGCCAGCCGCCGCGGUAAUACCGGCAGCUCAAGUGGUCGUCGCUUUUAUUGGGCCUAAAACGUCCGUAGCCUGUUUGGUAAAUCUGUGGGUAAAUCAACCUGCUCAACGGGUUGAAUUCUGCAGAGACUGCCAGACUAGGGACCGGGAGAGGUGUGGGGUACUCGAGGGGUAGGGGUAAAAUCCUGUCAUCCUUCGAGGACCACCAGUUGCGAAGGCGCCACACUGGAACGGGUCCGACGGUCAGGGACGAAGCCUAGGGGCACGAACCGGAUUAGAUACCCGGGUAGUCCUAGGUGUAAA
rnacentral:rRNA from 1 species